rnacentral:rRNA from 1 species
CCCUUAGAGUUUGAUCCUGGCUCAGAUUGAACGCUGGCGGCAGGCCUAACACAUGCAAGUCGAGCGGUAACAGAUUGAUAGCUUGCUAUCAAUGCUGACGAGCGGCGGACGGGUGAGUAAUGCCUGGGAAUAUGCCCUGAUGUGGGGGAUAACUAUUGGAAACGAUAGCUAAUACCGCAUAAUCUCUUCGGAGCAAAGAGGGGGACCUUCGGGCCUCUCGCGUCAGGAUUAGCCCAGGUGGGAUUAGCUUGUUGGUGGGGUAAUGGCUCACCAAGGCAACGAUCCCUAGCUGGUCUGAGAGGAUGAUCAGCCACACUGGAACUGAGACACGGUCCAGACGCCUACGGGAGGCAGCAGUGGGGAAUAUUGCACAAUGGGGGAAACCCUGAUGCAGCCAUGCCGCGUGUAUGAAGAAGGCCUUCGGGUUAUAAAGUACUUUCAGUUGUGAGGAAGGCAGUAAAGUUAAUAGCUUUGCUGUUUGACGUUAGCAACAGAAGAAGCACCGGCUAACUCCGUGCCAGCAGCCGCGGUAAUACGGAGGGUGCGAGCGUUAAUCGGAAUUACUGGGCGUAAAGCGCAUGCAGGUGGUCUGUUAAGCAAGAUGUGAAAGCCCGGGGCUCAACCUCGGAACAGCAUUUUGAACUGGCAGACUAGAGUACUGUAGAGGGGGGUAGAAUUUCAGGUGUAGCGGUGAAAUGCGUAGAGAUCUGAAAGGAAUACCGGUGGCGAAGGCGGCCCCCUGGGACAGAUACUGACGCUCAUAUGCGAAAGCGUGGGGGAGCAAACAGGAUUAGAUACCCCUG